CAGAGGUGGUACCUCACUAUGGACAUAGUUGGACAUCACAACCACUGGAUGACAUUCAAACCAUCACAUAAAGGAGGAAAAGAUGGGAUUCAGAUGUAGCCAAAACAACUACAUCCCACCAGGAACUGAAAUCCAUCCCAUAAGACAAUCUUCAUGAACUGCAUGCUCUCCAGAUAUACAGUACUUCAAUUUCCAUCAUCCCUAGCCAGCAGGACAUUGUGAAUCACGGGAGUUGUAUCCUAAGGCAUCUGGAUGACACCAGAUAGAAAGUCAGUACUGAAGUGGCACACAAGUAUACCAGCCAUGCAAGCUUCACAUGAAAGCACUGACACCCUGGAAUACCAUUCUAGGAUGGCUGAACAAGGACUGUGUAGGUAUCUUUAUGAAAACUGUAAGUAGCCCCAAGUUGCAUUUUAUGCUUUAAUAAAAACUCUAAAUGGCUCUGGCAAUCUUUAAAUAGAUUAUUGCAGAGCACCCUUUGUGGGGCUGCCAAUGAAUGUUCAGAAGUUGCAGCUUGGGCAAAAUGUGGCAGCUAGAUUAUUAACGGGGACAAAAAGAGCAAACAUAAAAGGCCAAUUUUAGUCCACCUGAACUGACUGCCUGUAUGCUUUUGAGCCCAAGAUACUGGUUAUAACCAUAAAGCCCCACAUGCCUUUCCUGACCUCAAUUUACUUGGGCAUUACUAUCUACAACUAAGCUCUUCCUUCAACUGCCACCCAGGCA